UAUUUUCCGUUUUAUGAUGAUCCUUCACAGACCUGUUCUGAGUAUUUUUGAGGAACGCCUAAAUUAAUUUCUGAUCAACUAAUGAAAUUUAAAUUUUCUGCAAUGUGCUUCAACAUAUUUAAUGUAUUUUUAUUAUUAUUUACAGGUAUCUUCCCUCAUUCACCACUUGUUUGGUCAUUCAUCAGUCAUCAGGUAUUCACUGUCCCACAACGGAUCCAUGUUGCUGAUGCAUCAGGUGUUGACGUUGGUGAUGACUGACUAAAAUAGCUGGAUCGCUUUGUCCACAACAGAAAAUGUGUUGACUGACUAAAAUAGCUGGAUCGCUUUGUCCACAACAGAAAAU